rnacentral:rRNA from 1 species
AUCCUACGGGGGGCAGCGGUGAGGAAUAUUGGUCAAUGGGCGGAAGCCUGAACCAGCCAAGUCGCGUGAGGGAAUAAGGCCCUACGGGUCGUAAACCUCUUUUGCCGGGGAGCAAGGCGGGGACGUGUCCCGGCCCGGAGAGUACCCGGAGAAAAAGCAUCGGCUAACUCCGUGCCAGCAGCCGCGGUAAUACGGAGGAUCCGAGCGUUAUCCGGAUUUAUUGGGUUUAAGGGGAGCGUAGGUGGAUUGUUAAGUCAGUUGUGAAAGUUUGCGGCUCAACCGUAAAAUUGCAGUUGAAACUGGCA